UACGUAGGGCGCAAGCGUUGUCCGGAAUUAUUGGGCGUAAAGAGCUCGUAGGCGGCUUGUCACGUCGGGUGUGAAAGCCCGGGGCUCAGCCCCGGAAGUGCAUUGGAUACUGGGAGGCUGGAGUACCGGAGAGGAGGGUGGAAUUCCUGGUGUAGCGGUGAAAUGCGUAGAUAUCAGGAGGAACACCGGUGGCGAAGGCGGCCCUCUGGACGGAUACUGACGCUGAGACGCGAAAGCGUGGGGAGCAAACAGG
rnacentral:rRNA from 1 species